CCAACUACAACACUUCAAACACCCACAAUCAACACACAUUGACCAAAACAUCAAUAUUAACCCAUAACUCAACAUAUAACCUAACAUGCAUUUCUACCCAUAGAUCUAGCAUAAAACUUACUUAAAACACAUGAGGAGCUUAAGAUCGGCUCUUACCUCUUGAAGAUCGAGAGAGAGAUGACCUAAACUUGGAGAUCCACGAAAAUG
rnacentral:lncRNA from 1 species